rnacentral:rRNA from 1 species
GAUGAACGCUGGCGGCGUGCCUAAUACAUGCAAGUCGAGCGAACGGAUGAGAAGCUUGCUUCUCUGAUGUUAGCGGCGGACGGGUGAGUAACACGUGGAUAACCUACCUAUAAGACUGGGAUAACUUCGGGACACCGGCGCUAAUCCCGGAUAAUAUUUUGAACCGUAUGGUACAAAAGUGAAAGACGGUCUUGCUGUCACUUCUAGCUGGAUCCGCGCUGCAUUAGCUAGUUGGUAAGGUAACGGCUUACCAAGGCAACGAUGCAUAGCCGACCUGAGAGGGGGAUCGGCCACACUGGAACGGAGACACGGUCCAGACUCCUACGGGAGGCAGCAGUAGGGAAUCGUCCGCAGUGGGCGAAAGCCUGACGGAGCAACGCCGCGUGAGUGAUGAAGGUCUUCGGAUCGUAAAACUCUGUUAUUAGGGAAGAACAUAUGUGUAAGUAACUGUGCACAUCUUGACGGUACCUAAUCAGAAAGCCACGGCUAACUACGUG